UAAAUGAUGAGACUUAUUGGUCCGUGUUUCUGAUUUAUCAGUGAUUAAUCUUACAACCAUUUCUGAGAAAA